rnacentral:rRNA from 2 species
UAUACAUGCAGUCGAGCGAAUCGAUGGGAGCUUGCUCCCUGAGAUUAGCGGCGGACGGGUGAGUAACACGUGGGCAACCUGCCUAUAAGACUGGGAUAACUUCGGGAAACCGGAGCUAAUACCGGAUACGUUCUUUUCUCGCAUGAGAGAAGAUGGAAAGACGGUUUACGCUGUCACUUAUAGAUGGGCCCGCGGCGCAUUAGCUAGUUGGUGAGGUAAUGGCUCACCAAGGCGACGAUGCGUAGCCGACCUGAGAGGGUGAUCGGCCACACUGGGACUGAGACACGGCCCAGACUCCUACGGGAGGCAGCAGUAGGGAAUCUUCCGCAAUGGACGAAAGUCUGACGGAGCAACGCCGCGUGAACGAAGAAGGCCUUCGGGUCGUAAAGUUCUGUUGUUAGGGAAGAACAAGUACCAGAGUAACUGCUGGUACCUUGACGGUACCUAACCAGAAAGCCACGGCUAACUACGUGCCAGCAGCCGCGGUAAUACGUAGGUGGCAAGCGUUGUCCGGAAUUAUUGGGCGUAAAGCGCGCGCAGGUGGUUCCUUAAGUCUGAUGUGAAAGCCCACGGCUCAACCGUGGAGGGUCAUUGGAAACUGGGGAACUUGAGUGCAGAAGAGGAAAGUGGAAUUCCAAGUGUAGCGGUGAAAUGCGUAGAGAUUUGGAGG